CCUACGGGGGGCUGCAGUGGGGAAUAUUGGGCAAUGGGCGCAAGCCUGACCCAGCUACGCCGCGUGAAGGAAGAAGGCUUUCGGGUUGUAAACUUCUUUUGUCAGGGAAGAGUAGAAGACGGUACCUGACGAAUAAGCCACGGAUAACUACGUGCCUGCAGCCGCGGUAACACGUAGGUGGCAAGCGUUGUCCGGAUUUACUGGGUGUAAAGGGCGUGUAGUCGGGUUGACAAGUCAGAUGUGAAAGCCUGCGGCUUAACCGCAGAACUGCAUUUGAGACUGUUGAUCUUGAGUACUGGAGAGGCAGACGGAAUUCCUAGUGUAGCGGUGAAAUGCGUAGAUAUUAGGAGGAACACCAGUGGCGAAGGCAGUCUGCUGGACAGCAACUGACGGUGAGGCGCGAAAGCGUGGGGAGCAAACAGGAUUAGAUACCCGAGUAGUC
rnacentral:rRNA from 1 species